CCUUCAACCAAUCACAGAGUCUCUUCUAGAAACAUUGUGCAAAAGACCCAGACGGAGGAGGACUUUUAUUAUGACAGCGAGUAUCGCUCACUCAAAGCAAUGGCGGAAGAGCGCUAGCUUUGUACAAGUGUCUCGCUGUGUGAGGCAUGAAUCAUGUUGUUGUGGAGACAAUAGCACCAGAUUGUUACGCGGUGUGUUCAUGUGCGUCAUUAAAGGAAACCACAUCUACACCUGCCUAUGAUCUGGCUAAGCUCUCAAAUAUAGCCAGGCACUCAUGCAUCUCCAUUCACAUGCCAUGCAACCAAGCUCAUAAAUACAGCUCUGGCCUAUCUCUCUUAAAGGAGCAUACCCUCAUCCUGUGCAGAGCUUCAUUAAAGGACUACUACCAAUAUUCACCAUUACCUUCAUCAACGACUGCUCUGCUAUCCAAGUUGUGCCUCUCAUUCAGAGUUCUGUGCUGUGUGUGCUACCCUUAUAAAUACUGAAUGCUGGCUCUCUCCUAUCUAAUGUAUGUUCUCUUGUGUGCCUAAUAAACAGCUCAAGUUGG